UGCUCUUUUUGGCGCGGGCGGCGGAGGGGACGGUGAUGUGCACCGCGUGGUGCGGACGCGCCUGGGCCCGGUGGGGGCUCCGGGCCCUGGUAGCUCUAGGUCCAGCGGUGCGAUGGGCCUGGCGGCGAGGGGCGUCCGCCGGGCCUCAGUCUUGGGAUCAUCACCAACUUCUUCUGAGCCCCACAUCGGACCGGGACUUAACAAUGCGUGGCCUGUAUAGUUUCGUUUGGGACAAAGGCAGGCGGGACAAAUAGCUGCAAGGUUCUCCCUCUGCUGCAAGACAAUGCUGCGAAAGGACCUGAUAAGACACCCUGCUGCCCCGAGCAUGUUGCUUUGGGAAAGCACAUGGCCUGUGUAGCCUUGUGAGGGAGAAGGAAAGGUGACUAGCUGAAGCCAUGCCCUGCUCAGGGGCGCAGUGUGUGGCGGUGUUUGAGGAAGAGCCGUGUUUCCUGGGGGCGGGCAGCAAUGGAUCUCCUGGGACGGCUGCAGGGAAGGGAGACAGAUGGAAUUCUGGCCUUCAUCUGAUCCUGUCAGCACAAACGUGGCGCAGGAAGUGACACACAGGUCACGGCGUUCCUCCUGUGUCAACCCUCAUGCCCAGGUAAAUGUAAUGGGGUAACUGUAGAAGUGACCGCUUUUGGUUAACGAUCCUGAUUAUUGCAGACGAAUGAACCAGGUGCUGUUGGACACCGAUGGCCAAAACUCUGUCAGGACCUUAUUUGGAAAAAAGGAAUCAUGCAAUGUGCAAAACUAAGAUUCAUCUUCUAAAAGACAUUGUCAGAUCUGGUAACGCUGUGCUUUCAGUGUUGCUUUACUGGCAAUUUUGUCUGCAUUCUUCAUGAAUUUUGUAGUGGUCUUCCUGAAAUACUUGUUAGCUACAGAUGUUUAUAUAAACGAUAUGUUUAUGCAGUACCUAUAAAUUGUGUGUUGUGUACUUACAUUUUAGUAUUAUACAAAAGUGUUGUGGUAGUCAGCUCUUCGGUUGUCUUCCUCAAAUCUGCUUUUUUCCUGUAAUUUAAGAAUUAUACCAGUCUUUUGUGGACUUGAUUUAUUUGGUGUGCUCUUCCCCUGGGGGGAAAAAAAAAAACACCAACAACAAAACCAAACAAAGAAAGGGACUAAGUCUGAGCUUUUUUUGUUUUCUCCAAAGCUGUCUCCAUCUAGUCUGUCUUCAAUUUUCUUUCUCAUGCAAACCAUGGUGAAAAACAAUACCCGAAAGGCUCCAGUGCUUCCAACCAGUGGCUUGAUGGCCUGUGUGACGUGCCUCUUGUCCCAUCUCAAGAAGAAAGAAAUAUAUUGAUGGUGUUACAAAUAAAGCAGGUAGCGUCCUGUUCUAGGAAGAAAGUGUGUUGUGUUGGAAACCCUUGGGUAGGGCAGAAGGAGGUGUCCUGCCUGGGUCAGUGAUGAGUGUUGGCAUGUAUUAUCUGAUCUAAAGUUGAUGUCCAUCAACACUUUAGCUCUAGAAUUACUCUGAGACCCAGGAAACUCCAGUCAGCUUUUCAGAUUUGCUUUUUGGGGUGGGGAAAGCAAUGAUGAUACUGUAUUUUCUGUUGGGGUUGUACAUUCCUUUUUGUAUUUGCAGUUGGCGUUUCCUGGAAGGGUUAAAUUUGUUGGGCAUGUUCACGUACCUCUUAGAAUACUGUAAAUGGCAACUGCUUUGCCUGCACAGCAGUUCCAAAAAUGUGGGAAUAUUACAUGUUCUUGCAGUGGUUUUGUAUAUGCGCGUCCCUGUUGGUGGUUGCUUUGGGUUUUGGGUUUUGCUUGGUUUUUUUGGAAGGUGUUUUCUUAUCAGGGGAUUGUGAGCAGCCUUCGGUCAAUACUGUGGUUUCCUGCAAUUUGUGUUUUCCUAGUGACUGCCUGAAAUGUGUCCAGAAGGACUGCAAAUGUUGUCUCCCAGGGAAGACAGAGGGGUUUGUUGAUGCCUAGGUAUUAUGUGACAUGUUGUAAAUGAGCCCGGUGGUUGAUCUACGUGGGAUUGCCAGGAACGUUAAUGAUCAGAGUUAACCUGUUUCUGCCAGAGAGCCCAUUUGGCCUUCAGCUUGCCCUCCGUAAGCCUUAGGGUCAAAGGAAUGGACAGGAUCGAACCACAGGCUGGAUGCAGAAUUGUCCUAAGGCUGUAUCCAGCCUCCAGGAAGCAGUUUUAGUACUGCUGUGGGGAUUUUUGAAGAAGAGAGUAGUGCUCUGCUUAUCUUUUAGGAUCUUUUUUCCAAACUUUAUACUAAUGUAAUAUAUUAGUUAAACAUUACCAUUCUAUAAUUGCAUUGUGUAACUGGAACUUCUUUACAAAAGCAACAUUAAUCCAAUGGAAAAGUAAAACUAAUUUGAAACUAAAAGAUGAGAUGCGUGCAUGUUUUUCGUCAUGUGUGCAGGACUGCUUCAAGAUCUUCCUGCAUUUACUCUGCUAAAUAUACUUAUUUUUUCAGUACAAGCUUACUUCUGUCAUUUUGGAUCCGGAUAAUCAGCGCGACAUCCCGCACUGGAGUCAGGUGCUGUUCCUUGUAUAAUUCUGGUUCCUGAAACACAAACCAUGCAAAUGGCUUCUCAUGAGGCCACUUAAAAGAGCUCUGUAAAAAAUACUAUUUUUAAAAAAACAAACAAUUUGUAAGCUACUAGAAACCACGGUGGGUUAAUUAGUCUUCAGCUCUUGGUGCUUUUGCCUGAUCUAAAUGAGUCAGAAAUUGCUGUGAAGAAUCCCUAUGCCCCAGGGUCGGCUCCGUGCCAGCCCACCCACCGCAGAAAUCCUCUCACUGCCAUUUGUCUCGAUGAAGGAGGAAGAAGAUUUUGGGGUGACAUGAUGAAGAGGAAAUGGAAGUCAUUGAGAUGGUCCAAGUGAAGUGGCGGAUUAAGAUCACGUCUUUCAAGGGCGCUGGCCAGAUAAAAUAAAAAAGUGUUAUGAGAUCUCAGUGCCACUCCUAUAGAAUGCUUGGCGGCUUAUUUGUCAAAGGUCGGGGGGAAAUUGUAGCUGUUUUUAUUAUGGCUGUCCAUGUCUUGUCCUUUCUCCACACGAGUGUUAACUGAUGCAGUUUUCUCUUCCUUUGUAAGCUGAUACAUUCCUCGCGCUGGUGGGGCAGGGGGUGUCUGUUCUGCUCUGUCACUUCGGAAGGGUUUGGGGGGAGUUAAAAAGUUGUGGGGUUUUUUUUUUUUAAUUUCUGAGGAGCUCAUUAAAAAACCACCAAACCCAGCAAACACUUUCUCUUCAGACUGCGCUAAGAAAACCUUAACAUCUGAAGUCCUAAUGCUUUUCUGGUCUUGGGAUUAAACUUGAGCUAUUUCUGUCUUGCUGGAAGACCAAGUUGGCUGAGUUCUUCCAUACGUAAUGCAGGUACCUUUGGGGGCUUCUGCACGUUGUAUUUUGCAGGCGUUUUGUGCUAUUUCUACCUGUCAUAUCUAUUGUGGAAGUGGGCGCAGCCAUAGAAACAUCGGUGCUUACAGGUCUUUCCUUUCUUCUGCACUAACCCAUUCCUAACAGAUCCUGUUAGAUUUUUUGCUUGUUUUAUUUUUUUCUUUAAAUUAGUUUUAGAUCGUAGUCUUUUGACUUGACAAUUGUGGUUGUAUUUCAGGUUUUGAACCAUUCGACUAUAAAGACUUCUGUCUUUUAAGUAGCUUGGAACCUAGUGUAGUAGUUGUGCAUAUUAGCAGGUUUUUCCUUUUGUAUUUGCUUUUAAACAAGAAUUGCAGAGAGGAGCGGAGUGUGACAUGGCCGUAGAUGCAUCUGCUCCACAUUCAUGCUUCCCUGAAAACACAUACAGCUCCCCAGAGCCUGAGUCUGCAAUUAGUAACUUCAUUUGCCCACUUGCCAGUGGGGAACAUGCCCCUCUCUGAGCAUCCCCAUCUGUACAAGGGAAGUUUGUUGUCUUGUUCCUGAAGUGCACUGACUUUAAUUAUUAUGUUUUUAUACUGAUUUUACUUCUCUAAUAAGUACGUAUUGGUUCUGGGAAGGAACAAGUAAACAUACACACCGUACCUGUGUUUGGCAGACCCCUGCGGUGUGGGGCAGGACUUGUGCCCGUGUAGUUUUAGCCUUCUGUGAUCAAUGGUGGGGGCUCCUGUCUGUGGCUGUAACACGGUAAUUGCCCUCGGCUUGCUGCGAUUUGCAGCCUUUGCGAUGAGAUCCAGCAGUUCCACUUGCACACGCAGGACGCGCGCUGCAACCUGACCCCGUGGGGGAUUUUGGAGAGGAUUUUGUGGAAUGACUGAUGAACCCCACUGACAGGAUGCUCAGCUCGUGAGCCUUUCAGUAGCCUCGUGCAGUUGUGUGGUGACAGGUGCUCCUGGGGAAGGUUCAUGUGGUGAAGGAACACUGGGAUGCCAGAUAACUGCUGCCUCUUUGGGGUUGUUUUUUUUGUUCCUUGUAUUUUUUUUCCUUCCAGUUCUAUAGCACAGUAGGCUGCUGCUCCCCUCGGGGGUUUCCAGGAAAGCUCUAGUCAGAGACCAUCAAAGAACAUUAUGCUGUUGCUGAAGAGAAAACGGGGAAUUAGGGGAAGAGGCACUUGGAGGUGAUCAAAUUUACCUUUUCAGCCUUGGUUAUCUUUGCUUCUGCUGCCGAUGCCAUCAGGUGUGAUUGGGGACACAUCAGUGCUUCCUGCUGAAGGCAGAGUUGGAAGCUGUCUUACAGCAAACGAUCUACAGGUGUCUCUGAGUAAAUCAUAGGGCCGUAAAUGCCACAGAAAUUGCUCUGAUGGGUGUUGACAGGCAAGACAAAUAAAAGUUUAUUCAGUUGCAGCAGCAUCUUCAGCCAUGGAGAUUUGUGUUUCUCUUGCUGACAAAAGCUCCAUCCCGUACAAACGACAGCUGGGCGGCUUUUUGGAGAUGAACACAAACUUUCUUUCUUUUCCCAGGUGGUUCCAUUUCACAACCUGUUGGGAAUUGCUGGACCAUCUCUUUUCAGAAGAACAAAUGAAGGCUGUCAGUCCUGUCUUUCGUAUGCCAGAAGAUGCCCUGCAAGAGCAAAGGCACAGCCUGAGCUGUCUCACGGAGAGAAAAGGUGUCUGCCCUCUUGCCGUGGUUUGACUGCUAGGAGGUCAUCUCCGAAACCGUUACCGUAUUUUCUUUUUAAAUGUGUUUAUGUUACUGUAGUAGAGCAGAACUUUGGCCUGGGCUUUGUCACUUUGUAAGUUGUAUAGAACAGGGUUGUUCUAAUCAUCUGAGCAUAACCUGUUCUUUCGUUGUAUAUGAGGUGUAGAAACCUUUCUAAUCUGUAUCUAAACAUGUGGGGCUUUGGACAUUUUUCUGAAUAUUCAAGUCAAAGCAAGAGUGUGAUUGGCUUAAUUUUUGUAUCCCUGUGAUACCAACUGUAUUAACCAUCAUCUGUCUUUAUACGAAGGUGCUUUGAUGAUGGAUUAGAGUGUACUUCAAAAGAAUCUGAAAAAAGCCCUACCUAAGCUCUGCGUUAAUGCCACACGCUUGUGCAUUCUUCCCAUUCAUGCUUGACAUGGCUUUUACCUGCUGAGACACAAGCUGUUUCUUCUGAUGGUGUGAAACCAGUGAAAACAAAAGUUAUGGUUUCACUAAGUGUAUAUAAAUGUCUUCAUUGAUUGAAGUCCCUUAGACGAGAUUUCCCUGAUAUUUUGAAUAAAGCAUACCUUGAGUGUGUGUGAUGUAGUGAAACUUGCUAACGUUUAGCACUCUAGAGAAAGUGUCUACAGGAGAGUGGCUUGUUAUAUAGUGUUGAUCCUAAAUUUGCUGGGUUAAAAUUCUGCUGUCAUGGCAUUUAAGACAACAUCUAAUAACAUGUUGGCAAUUAAGAAUAAAACUAGCCAUGGAAAACACUUGCUUUCUGAAGGUUGGAGUCCUCUUUGUCUUCACAGGAGUCCUAAAAUUGCCUCUUACUUUACAUCUUGCGGAUAGUUGUUGAGACUGGGUGGUAUUCCAGAUGAAAUAUAAGGUAAAAGAUAACUGCAGAGGGGAAGUAGUUGCUAAUAAUCUCUAUACAUCUACUCCCACCCCCUGCCCUGGGCAGGGACACCUCCCACCAGCCCAGGUUGCUCCAAGCCCCGUCCAACCUGGCCUUGAACCCCUCCAGGGAUGGGGCGGCCACAGCUUCUCUGGGCAACCUGGGCCAGGGGCUCACUGCCCUCAUGGCAAAGAAUUUCUUCCCAAUAUCUGAUCUAAAUCAAGGCUUAAAUAAAAAAAAGUUACGGUAGGCUUUGCGUGCAUGGAAUGAGAGCCA